UGGGGAAUAUUGGGCAAUGGGCGAAAGCCUGACCCAGCAACGCCGCGUGAAGGAAGAAGGCCCUCGGGUUGUAAACUUCUUUUGUCAGGGACGAAGCAAGUGACGGUACCUGACGAAUAAGCCACGGCUAACUACGUGCCAGCAGCCGCGGUAAUACGUAGGUGGCAAGCGUUAUCCGGAUUUACUGGGUGUAAAGGGCGUGUAGGCGGGACUGCAAGUCAGAUGUGAAAACUAUGGGCUCAACCCAUGGCCUGCAUUUGAAACUGUAGUUCUUGAGUGUUGGAGAGGCAGGCGGAAUUCCGUGUGUAGCGGUGAAAUGCGUAGAUAUACGGAGGAACACCAGUGGCGAAGGCGGCCUGCUGGACAAUAACUGACGCUGAGGCGCGAAAGCGUGGGGAGCAAACAGGAUUAGAUACC
rnacentral:rRNA from 1 species